rnacentral:sRNA from 2 species
CGCCCCGUCAUUGGGGAGUAGCCACCCUCCUGCGAGAGGGGCGUGCGCCAACAGACUCGGGACCAUCCUGCCUCAGGCGGUCCCGUGGCGCACGCGGCAGCCGGACAGAGUCCGGCCGGUU